rnacentral:rRNA from 1 species
AUACGGAGGACGCGAGCGUUAUCCGGAUUCAUUGGGUUUAAAGGGUGCGCAGGCGGCCGUGCAAGUCAGCGGUGAAAGCCCGGGGCCCAACCCCGGAAGUGCCGUUGAUACUGCAUGGCUUGAAUGCGGUCGAGGCGGGCGGAACGGGGCGUGUAGCGGGGAAAUGCGUAGAUAGGGCACAGAACGCCGAUAGCGGAGGCAGCUGGCCAGGCCUUGAUUGACGCGCGGGCACGAAAGGGUGGGGAUCGAAAAGGAUUAGAUACCCUGGUAGCCCACGCCGUAAACGAUGGGCGCUCGUCGUCGGCGGCAGACAGUCGGCGGCCAAGCGAAAGCGAUAAGCGCCCCACCUGGGGAGUACGGUCGCAAGGCUGAAACUCAAAUGAAUUGACGGGG